CAGCUCUGAGUCCUGAGCCCUUCCCAGGGAGGUUUCAGCUGGGAUGGGGCAGAUAAGCAGGGAGGAGACAGGCCUCCGUGGAUGGCACAGUGACUCGCUGUUGGUCCUCCUACAGGUGUGCAGACUGAAGCCAGGACCCCAGCCAGAGAGUCCUUCAAACACAUGGAAGAGAAUUAUGAGAACAUCGGGAAUAAAGGAUGACGCUGGAGUCCUCCAUGCCUCCCUCACCCUCUUCAGCUUGACCUCACCAACUCAGCAGCGCCUCCCCUCCCCCCUCCCCACUGGGAACCGCCGGAAGAGACCCUAUACUCUGUCUUAAAGACCUAAGGAGUAGGGCUGAGUGAGGACCUCCUUUGAGUCAGCUGCGCACAGGGAUCUCAAUUCCUCAUAAUCACCCCGGCCAGACACAGACAGCUCAGAGACCUGCAGGUGCUGAAAGUCACCAAGGACCUGAGAGUCACACAGCUCCCUGCCCCAAUUUCCUCUUCAACUUUCCAGCCUUUCACCACAAAAAUAAAAGGACCUGUACAAUUUGCCUGAACA
rnacentral:lncRNA from 1 species